CUACACCACCUGUGAAUUCCCAGCACAGAAGAACGAUCUGGUCAAGAAUCCAGCUGUAACACUCCUUUUUGCCCCUCAGUGGACAAGAAAAAACAGCAAACAACACCCCCCCACCACGUAUACUGGAACGAUUUACAGGUUCAGUACAGAUCACUUGGGAUUGAAAAAUCAGCUCGUGUCACACCGGCACCCCGAGAAGCACUGGAUUUACACAAAGCCCCCCAGUGACCGCAGUUAUGCAGCAGGCCAGGCCCGCCAGGCAGUCACCUGACUGCCACUGCAGAUCGCCGCCUACUGCUUACUACAGUAUUUCUGCGCGUUCUCCCGUCCCACUCGCACCCUUCUGAGGGGGGAGGCAGGGCGGCAAGGGUAGGGAGGUAGACGAGCCACGCUACGCUAGAGGCAGAAGGAAUAAAAACGGGGCUGCUCAGCAGCGCCGAGCCGAGGCCGGUAAGUGGGUCGGCAGAGCCAGGGCCGACCGGAGCGGCAGCGCCGUUCUCCGCUCGAACAGAGCGCAAGGCCCCGGCUCCGCCCGCCUUUGUCAGCGGGGCCGGGCGGCACUCGAGCGGCCAGGCCAAGGGAGCGGCUCUGGGGGGUCGGCCGCGGACACGGGGAAAUGGUGUUGUGCAGCUAUGGAACAACAGCUGCUGUCCAGGAGUUGUCAUGCUUAAAGAAGAAACAACAGCAGAGGAAACUGAACAACAAUCUUCUGUUUGUAUCCUAGCCUCCAACCUACUAUGCUAUUGACAGUAGUCACACCAGGUCACCAAGCAAAAUACACAAAUUUGCAAGACACACAUUGACUGAAGGAUUCGCUACUUAUUUCAUGAAUGUUUUCUUCUUCGAUGAAAGAAUACUCCAUAAGACGUGAGUGAGACCUCUGAAUACAAUUGCAUCUUGAAAGAAGUCUAGGGGAAGCCUUUCCAGCAAAAUCCUGGCAGAAAGUGCGCCUAAAGCAGUGAUCAAGGACACAAGUUUUCUGCUGUGUUUGAGAUUUUAUGUGUAAUUAAUAAACAGUUUUGCCUUCAAGGAGAAUCAGUUCCAUUAACAGCUUCUCCUUCAGUGAGCAACCUGUGUUUUCCUAGAUAUCAAGUGACUGCUUGGAUCACGCUUAGCAGAAGUCUGUUACGUAUGGAUAUUUUUUUCAUUUUUUUAAUUGUGUAAUAUCAUGAAGACACGUGCAAUUAGUUUAACAAGAUACACACUGUUGUAACAGUUGUUUCAAUCCUCCCUGAACUUCAUUAUUUUGCAUGGGAUUAUGUUAGGUUGGCAGAUGUGUAGUUACUUGGGUCAUCCAGUUGCUCCAGUGCUUAGCCUGCACACACCGAAUGGAGAGGCACAGCAGUCAAGGUAGCGAAGGUCAGUGGUGUACCCAGCAGUGUUUGCAUGAAUUCCAGCAUACACAGUGUUAGUAUGCUUCUUAUAAAUGCUGGUGGAAUAUCAACUCCAUUAUACUUAACCGAUCAAUAUUUUGAAGCCCUCAGUGAAUUUUUCUUUAAGAUUUCUCCUCUAUUCCUUCAGGUGAGGAAACGCCAAGGAGAAAUUUUUAGGCAUUCUGAGGGUAUUUUGGCUUCAUGAGCCUCUCUCAUCGUGUUGCUUAGACUGAGAUCCCUUAAGGUUAUGUAGUUUUUUCCUGUACCUUCAUUUAGCAGUGGUCAUCUGCACAAGCCAUGUUGUGUGCUUUGUUUUUUAGAAAGCAAACAUAUUUGUUUUGGAGUUGAUCAAGAGAAGAGAAUAAUUAUCUUUGGCAGAGUGACAUUCCUUCUUUUUGCCCACCCAGUCUGUUACAUGUAAUUAUAACCAGUGGUUUUAGCAUUAGCGUCACAGUUUUCCCAUUAAUGUUACAGGCCACUCAAAGGAAGCAAAUGGCAUCUGCAGUAAGCAAAAGAGGCAGUUAGAAUUAAAGCACUGCUCAUGAAAAAUGGACAAUAACACUUUGAAAAUAUUUUAUUGCAUAGAAAUCUUGCUGAAUUGUGAUGCACGGAAAACAUGAUAUCUGCACUUCGAUGAAGUAAUAGGCCAGUCAUCUUCUCCUUGAAUUUAGUAAAAAUUAACUUAAACACCAGCAUAGUACUGUCCUACAUUUUUUUGAGGUAAUCCUCAGAAAGCUCAAGUGGUAAAUGUUUAAGGAAAGACACAGAUUUAUCCAGUUUCUCUACAAACUAAUUGUUUCAUUUUAUUAAGGCAAGCCCUGUUCUUUUCAAACCUCCUAAGUUAAGCUCUGGCACUUAGGCUCAUUUUGGCUGUUUACAUUGGCUUCAUAAACCUUAAGCCUAAACAGAGAAAAAGAAGGAAGGUUUCUUCCCAUGAAACAGCUCCAGAGUGAGAGCACUUAAAUGAAGUGUACUUCCUGCUUCGACAUAAUGAAAUGGAGAGAUCUUAAAAAAACACCAUACACAAAACACCCCACCUAAUUUGCUGUAAAGCUACAGGCAUCUCUAGCAAACAUAGGGCUUGGCUUUCAUAAACUACAAAUAGUGAGAUGAUUGGUUCCUGUGGGGGAUAUUCCUCAUAAUGUUCAUGUGUGCGUAUCUGUUUCAAACUGAGAAGUUUCAGGCAAAGCAGUUGGUUGCUUCUAGGACAGAGCUAACAUUUGUUACGUGACAUGCCCUGGAGAGUGUGAGGGUGGCAAAAGGAGAGAAUGCUGGGCAAGGGAGAGGGAAGAGAGGGAGGCUGAUGUGGCCUUUGCCUGAUUCGUAAUACCUCUGGAAUGGGCUCCAGCAUAUGCCUUCUCCUGAUCUGGGUACUGUCUGGGACAGCGCUGGUUGACAUGAGCCAAAGCUUUUCCAGGACACAUGCUUACAAUUAAGCAUAAUCAGCAAUUAGCAGCUCGGUGCUUAGGCUCCUUGCCAGGCCAUGUUUUUUCUAGUGCUGUAGACAUAGCCCUAGAGACCUUUGGGUGAAAAACAUUGCGCUGUCUGUGAUCGGUGGAGAGCUGUUUAAUUUUAAAGGGUCCCAGACCAGGGUUCCCUAUAGCAGCUUAAGAAAGUUCUGCUUCUGGUUCUUUUCUCCUCCACCACAAUUAGCUGUCUGAGCACGACUGCGUGUGCAGCAGGGAGGCUGAUCUGAAAAAUGGGUUGAGAUCUUUUAGCUGUACCAAAACUGGGCUUGGGCUGAAAUGCAAACAACAUGUAGUAAGAAAUAUUCUUUAAAAAGAAAAAAACUGCAGAAACUCCAGGUGAACAUCCCAGUUACGCAUUAUGUCAAUGUUUUUGUCUUGGUUUCUGGCUUGUAAAAUCACAGAUUCACAGAACCAUAGGGGUUGGAAGAGACCUCUGGAGAUCAUCCAGUCCCCACCCCCUGCUAAAGCAGGUUUCCUACAGCAGGUCACCCAGGUGGGUUUUGAAUAUCUCUAGACAAGGAGACACCACAGUCUCUCUGGGCUGUCUGUUCCAGGGCUCUGUCACUCUGACAGUGAAGAAGUUGUUCCUUGUAUUAGUAUGGAACUUCCCGUGUUCCAGUUUCUCCCUGCUGCCCAUUGUUCUACUGUUGCUCACCAAAAGUAAAAGGGUGAUUAUGUUUCAAAGUCAGCCGUUCUUUGUUCAGAACAGGUUUGAAACACAUGCAAAUAAUGGUGCAUGUUUGACAAUGCGCAGAAAAGCAAAUGUAACAAAUGCACUGCCUCAAAGCUUUUCAGUCAGCUGAGCACACUUGUUCUGAGAAAACCUUGACCACAGUGGGGUCGAUGAAGCUACAGAUUUUAGGGGAAAAAAAAGAGUAUGAAAUAUUCAUAAUCACACAUAAUUCAAUGGCUGUUCAUUGAGGCUUUACAAAUGUGUAACCCCACCCACAAUAAGGAAUGUAUGCAACAUUUAGCUGAUUUCUUGCACUACUUUGCAUUGCUAUGGAGGACAAAGACUGCAGAGGAAGAAGAAGUAAGGUUUGAAGUGCACCUCUGGUACUGCUGAGAACCUCCGGACCUCUUGGCAUGUGAACCUCUUCAGAAACUGUGCUACCCAGAUUGUGCAAUCGAGAUAGCACCAGCGUUUGGAUCCCAACAUGAAGAAAACUUCACCUUGCCUCGUAUUUCCAGCUGAAGGUGGAAAGUUUUCCUUCUGGCCCAGGCUGAUUUCUGGGGUGUUAGCUAAACAUUGCCAAGUUUAUGGACAAACGGAGGUGUUCACAUCUGACAGCAUCAGGUCUGUGCUUCCAGGUGAUCCAGUAGAACAGAUGCUAUAUUCAUUACCACGACUAACAUUGCUUUUACAGGACAAAUGGCAGUUCUCAGAUGAAUUCAUCCCCUUAAAACCGCAGUAUGAAAGAGCUCAUUUCUCCAGCCAGGAGGACAAGAUGUGUAAUAUUUUCUGUGUUAUGAAAACAUAGCAUCUACUAAAAGUUUGUAAAAAUUGAAGCACUCAUUUUUUAUCUGCUCUGUAGUCUGCUGGGAGAUCUAAAAGCAAUAAAUGAAAAGACUGUUAGUACCUCAAGAGGAUAAUGAGAAGUUUUAUCAACCAGGAAAGAAAAGUUUAUAUUGAAGCCCAGUGGAUACCAAUUCCGUGCACGUGAAGAUAGAGCCUGUUUUAAAAAAUGACCAAUAUUUUCCUGAUGGUGGGAAAUAUUCCUUGGAUACUACAACAAUAGGCACAAAGAGAGCAAUUGGAAAACACUUGCCAACUGCUUGUGGUCUAUUUUUCUGUCCUCACUCCACUUGCCUGGGUUGGUUCAAUAAAAGAUGCCUUGAGUCCGUGAGGCCAAAGCUCUGUGUUAUGCUGCUGAAGUAGCAGCUGCCCCCCUGAAGUUCAGACGGCAGCUACUGCUGCAGUUGGUGCACACAGCACCCCUGCUGCAGCAUCAGGCAGCCAGCUUCCAGAUAGAAGAUUCCCUCUCUGCUGGAGUAACAGGAAAAGCCUGAGGAUUCCGUUUCUGAGCCACAUAGAUGCAAAUGUGGUAUUGGAUAAAGCAAACACAAAUGAGCAUUUAUUCAUUUAUUUAUGCUUAGACUGCUAGCAUUCAGUUAAGGCUUGAAAAUGAAAUUAGCUUUAUAUUUACAUGUGGUGUUCAAAUGUAUUUAUUUAAACUUAGAUUCAUGUACUGGGGAAAAGAGGAAUAAAGAUAGCCAAGCACAAUA